UGGGGAAUCGUACAAUGGCAGUACAUGUCUCUCUGGAAGACAGAAUCUUGGUUCGAAUCCAGGUUCCCCAG
rnacentral:tRNA from 1 species